rnacentral:rRNA from 1 species
AGAAUCAACGCUGGCGGCGUGCCUAACACAUGCAAGUCGAACGAGAAAGUGGAGCAAUCCAUGAGUAAAGUGGCGCACGGUGAGUAACACGUGACUAACCUACCCUUGAGUGGGGAAUAACUCGGAAACCAGGCUAAUACCGCAUAACACCUAGGUCAAAGGAGCAAUUCGCUUAAGGAGGGGUCGCGGCAGGAUUAGUUAGUUGGCAGGGUAAUGGCCUACCAAGACGGUGAUCU